GAACUCUGCUUGCCUCAUCUCUGCAUUAGGGACUGGUUACUGUCUGUUAAAGCAUGCUGAGCGGAACAACCAGUUUAAACACUGUUAUCAGUACCGGCCCCAUUACCCAGCUGAGGAAACAAAGAACUGUGGCUUUAAAGCUCAAACACACAAAAUACCAGCAGCAAAAUCAGGCAGCAAUGUAUCACAAUGGCUCAACUCAAAGACUGUCUGAGAGCUAAUGAAGAGCUCUGAGUCUCAGUGGGGGAUGAUACCCUGCAACUUCUUUUUAUUGGUCCGGAAGUUUGAACCAUCUAGAAAAGUGUUUUCACACUGCAAACGAAACAGCUCUUCUAAAAAGUCAGAUAGUCUGGACCAAACAAGGUAAAUGUAAACCUCAUGCUGAAUGCAUAAACUUAACCACUACUAUGAUCAUAAACUUCAUCCCUAACCCUAGCCUUACCCAUCCUCAACCCAAAAUCUAAUCCUAACUGGUUCUAAACCCUAUAUUCUAACAAUAAUCCAAACCUUUACCUCUACCAAAAACCUAAACCUAAACUAUUACUCUGCUCAGUAGCAUAAUCUAUCUUGGUCCUGAGCUUCACCUUAACCAUAAUCAUAACAUCAUUCCAGUACCUGAAACUAAACUAAUACACACCCUGAUCUUAAACUCCACCCACAAUCUCUCUCUCUCUAUAUAUAUAUAUAUUUUUUUACACUGUAAAUUUAAUAUUGAAGACAUUAAAGCCAUACAGGAACCAAAAUAUGUUUUAUACUUUAUAUUCUUCUAAGUACUACAUUUAUCUUUGAGGACAGAUCUGCACACUCUUGGUAUUUUUAAUCUCAGUGUUUUCAUGAGGGAGAGUCACCUGGAAUAGUUUUCUCAGCGUCUUGAAGGAAGGAGUUUCUGGAGGUGCUGAACAAUAGUUGCUGCUUUUCCUUCAUGCUGUGAAGCUCCAGCUCAUCCCAAUUAAAUCAGCUCAAAUCACCAUCUCAGUUUAUCAGGUUUAGAUCAGGGGAAUUUUUGUUGACUAGUAAUUCCAUUCUGUCUCUUAAUUGUUUUUAUGACUUUAAUAUUAAUCUACAAUGUUUGAAUGUGUGUCCUUCCCUCUUUUUCUUUUUCUGUCUCCCUCAGUCCCCUCAAGCCUAGCCUGGAAUCAGUUCAUGUCAGCAGUUCCCAGGUGUGAGUGAUUGUGAGAGUGUGUGUGUGUGUGUGUGUGUGUGUGUGUUAUUGCUGUUGAUAAAGAAUUAGGUGCUGCUAAGUUUCUAGGGAGUUCCCUCUCUGCACUGCAGUCAUAUCCUGUUCUCUCUGACUGACCUCAGAUCAGGAGGCUCUAAUUGACGACUGUCCAAAUAUUACUGACCACAUAGACCAUUUUUACAAUUGCUGCAUCAUCAUCAUCAUGUCCAACUCAUGUCCACUGGUCGUUUUUUAGACUCCCUCAGUCAUUUUUACAGGUUUUACACAGUCAACAGGAGCACAGCUAACAUGGUGGUGAUGAAUUCCUUCAUCAUUAAACGAGGGUUAGUCUGUGUUGAGAAUAUUGGAUCAUGCUAAAGUUUAACCCUUAGAACUCUAGGCUGUUUUGGUGUGUUUUUCUCUGUUUUUGUCAGUUCCCCUUUCAGGUCUUAUAACACAGUAAUUUUAUCAGACAGUCACAUGACCUGAGCUCUUUUACUCCAGAAGACAUACGGCUGCUUAAAAAUAUAAUCAUUUAAAAUGUAAAGCAGAAUUUGAUUACUUAUUUUUGAAUGUAUAGACUUUAAAUAUAUUCACACCUAAAAUAUAUUUUCAAAAAUGGUUAGACUAGAGUAUUUAUGAGUUAAAUGAAUAAGAAUAUUGAUGAUAGUUCAUUACAUGGUUUAAUAUUACUUUGACAAAAUACAUGAACAGCAUCAGGCGGAGUUAUUUUUCUUGAUAAUCAAUAAUCACACCUCUAGGAUACAUGUAGAUUAUUAAUAACCUGACGCUCAGAGCAGCCUAUGGCUUUCAGUAUUUUAAUCAGAAGAAAUCUAUAUACAAAAAUGUAAACUUUUUAGUCUAAAUAAAUAAAUAAAGUUUCACA
rnacentral:lncRNA from 1 species